UACGUAGGGAGCAAGCGUUGUCCGGAAUCAUUGGGCGUAAAGCGCGCGUAGGCGGCCCGAUAAGUCAGCUGUGAAAGUCAACGGCUCAACUGUUGGAUGCCGGUGGAUACUGUCGGGCUAGAGUACGGAAGAGGCAAGUGGAAUUCCUGGUGUAGCGGUGAAAUGCGCAGAUAUCAGGAGGAACACCGGUGGCGAAGGCGGGUCUCUGGGCCGAUACUGACGCUGAGGAGCGAAAGCGUGGGGAGCGAACAGG
rnacentral:rRNA from 1 species